GCCCCCGCCCCACCCCGCAGGAAGUAGAAAGACCGUGGCAGUUAAGAAUAACUGGUCACUGCAGUGUCUUCUCCCUUCAAAAGAUCCAACUGAUGCUGAGGUAGAAAUUGAAUGUCGGCGCCCCCUAAUCCUCCUCUGCGGACUCUUGCGAGGAUGUCUCUUCAGUCUCCUGCAACACACGGAAGGCAGGUUGUCUGUCAUGUAAACAGCCUCGAAAACCACCCUUGAAGUUUCUGUGAAAACAUUCAACAUCUUGGAAGGGGUGAGCGCCACAGGACAACGGGGUUUCCCAGGAUUCCCUCGCCCCUGCGCCACACCACACGUGGAAGAUCCCCACAGAUGGAUACACAGGACAAAGCCCAGGGAUGGCCAGAAGGAAACACUCAGGAUGAAGAUGCUGGCCUUCUCUACGGAUGCUGUACAGGUUCCCGUACAGCCCAUCCAUCUCUAUCUUCCCACUGUUCUCCCCUCACUCCCAUGGCUCCCUACUAAGGAAAUUCAUACAUUUCUUGCCUUUAAUCCCUUGUCCUGAGUGGUCUCUGUGCUCACCGCCUGAUGCCGUUGGGACUGUGACCACCCACGAUACUCAAUUUUCACCCAUGGGUAUCUGACAUGAAGCCCUCUGUGAAUGAGUCAUUUGACAGCCCCACCACCACCACCACCACCACCACCACCACCACCACCACCACAAAGGAGUCAAGACCCACUAAGCCAGAGGACGAAAACAAACAAGCAAGCAAGCAACACUAACACACUCUUCCUUCAUGCUGAGCAAAUUUCCCUGUCAGGCAUUACCUGCUUUACCUUACGGUGAGAUGGCUCUCCUGGCUCGUCUGAGCUAUCCCUGGAAACUGCUGAGUGCAUUCACUUGGUCACGGACUGAAGAGUGAAGGAAGCCAUUCCUGACACCCAGAUGCUCUUCCGACUCCCUGUCAGUUCCGCCAGGAGGAUCCCAACUAUAUGAACAAGCUGUCUGUUGAAAUGAGAUGCUUGUCUCCCUACAGAUGCAGUGGUGUAAAGUCCUUGGCUCUAGAUAACACGCUUUGGUAUGUCUGGGCUUGCUGCCACCUAUGUGUAUGCACCUCUGAUCUUGGGAGGGAAUGUCACUGCUGUAACAUUUUUUUUUUAAAUAAAUUUGCUCUUUCAGGAUGUGGAAGCCAGUCAGUCAGGUGGAGCUAUUACAAGGCAGCCUUUUUGGGCCUUGGGGUGGGGGAGGGAUUCCCUCCAAGAAAUUUAAUAUAGUUUGGAGGUUACAGUCUCCUGGUACCUGGGGAGUUCUGCCAGGAAAGGACUUUCAAGAUAGCGUUAUAAGAUACGGUUUGGGAAUAAGAUAGACCAAAACUGGGGUCUGGGACUCACUCUACGCAAGGAGUUGCAUGACUUCUUAAGCAGUUUAAAUGUCACUUUCCUCAUCGGUGUAACAUGGAUGCCUCGCUGAAUUGUUGGGGGUAACUAAAUUAGAAGUCACUAAAGUGCACAGAGCAACUGCGGGCGGUAGGAAUGUAAUAAACACCACUUAAUAGCACUGGGGUGGGCUGCGCUGGUAGCAGCAGUGGCAGCAGGGGCAGCAAUAGUGUUUAUGAUUUCAUUGUUCAAUAUCAAAGACCUUGGUGGCACCCUUGGGAGCGAUCACAGGCCUCUGCACUAUGCACUUGUGGUGCACACGGUCCUGUAGUUUGCCGGUCUGUCACUGGAGUCUUGUCAUUGUGGUGGCCUUGAAGAUUCUGGCUUCCAGCCUUCCAGGAAUAUCCUUGGCCACCAAAACAAGAGUGUUUCGUGUGCUUUGUUCAGCUCCGCCCCCAAGCCCCACACAAGACAAUGGAAGUUUCCUUUGUAUCGUGUGAUUUAAAGUUCACAGGCACACAGUUCACAGAGAUGUUAUCUAGACUGACUUCCUUCAUCCACCACUAGCAUGGCUAUUUUAAGUACCUGAUUAGUGGAUAGAGCUGCCCUCCCCAACCGAUCUUAAGAAUGGGGGGAAUCAUGAAUGGAGUAUGCACGCACGCAUAACACACACACACACACACAGACAGACAGAGAGACGGCCCUUGCAUUCACAGUUGUCACAGGAAUCAUGGUUAAUAGUGGCUUACAAACUACCUCUGACCCAUGGGUUCUGUUUACCCAUGGAUCUAGUCAGUAAACAUUGAAGUAGUAUGUACUGGGCAUGGAUGAGAAUUCCUUAAAGCUUUUUCCUAGUAUUGCUGUAAUAUGACACUGCAUUAAGAAGGUAGCCCCUUAGUACUCAGUGGCUGCCUGCAAGGCUCAGCUUUAAGUCUUUCCUGUUCUCCUACCUGUGAGGCUCUGGGGAGGGGGAGGGAGGGGUGUUUCUGGGAAAG
rnacentral:lncRNA from 1 species